CAAAAUGUUAAAGCAUCUUGUCUCUGUGCUUUCUUCUCUGAUUCUCCCUUUACACGGGACAGGUCAUCCAGAAUGCCCGCCUUCCCAACCUCGGAUUGAAAUGACCACGGCAACAGCUCCUGUUCAUGUAAGCAACAAGAGGGAUGGACACUAAUUCAAUUAGGAAUGGGCACCUGCCCUAAGGGCAGCUUAUCCACAGGCCAGCUGGCAGCCAAUGAGAGGGCCUGGGGCAAUAGCCUCUGCCCAGGUGUGUGGACAGUCACUAGCUAAAUCCAUUAGUCCAUUUCCCCUCUGGACUCCAGACUGGAAAAUAUGGAGAAGUUUGGUCACUUACUGGUAAAGAAGAAAUAAAAUUAAGAGCAGCCAUAAAGAGAAGCAGAGCCCAAGAGCUGAGUCAAGAUAAUGGUAGGGCUGAGGGGUCCAGCACGGGGGAGAGCCCAAUCCCAGGAUGCAGCGUAUACCUGAGGGCCUGCCUCUUCCCCACACAUUGCCAACUAGUCCAAGCUACUUAAGCCCUGGGAACAGUAAUGCCAGCAUGAGAGCAGCAGUGACAGUGGCAGGAACACAUUCCAUUUGUCUUAUUUGGUUAAGCAUCUGCCAGCCCCAGAUCAGAUUUGCCUGUGUCAGCACCUUUGAGUGACACACACGCCCCUUGGGCUUACUUUGCCUGCGUGUUUGACAACUCAGCUUUGCUCAAGGCUGCCUCCCCAAAGUCUGGCCCAACCCUCUCAGUCUAGAGCAGGCCACUCACUCUUCAGUGCUACCAUGGGUUACCUGGGCGCUGCACGAGGAAGAGAGGGCUGUCUGUGGCCAGAUCAUGCAUGGGGAUCCCAAGGCCACGCUGAGAAGGGUUUCUUUUUGCGAUUUCAGUUUGAGACAGAAUGCAAAGGAAGAGUGUAAGACAUAAGCUAGCAGCAAAGCAGAAAGAAAGAGAGGUUGUUUCUCCUGAAGAUGAUGGUACUGGAUUUAAGAUGUCAUUGAAAUGGCUACUAAGAAGCCUCUAUGACCAGGGGCAUGGUCUCUCCUUUUGGUCCCCCUUUCUUUGCAAGGCCAGGUGUGAGCUGCACUGGUCCUGAUCUGUUAGCCUGAGGUGAGAGUCUUCAGUGUCUGUACAACCUCAUUCCCCAGAGCUGGAAUAGAUUGAGCUCCCGCUGGACUUGGGAGGGUCACAGAGGGGUGCCUGCCACCUGCAGCCCAGCCUAGGUAAGUGCAACUGUGCAACUGGUGGAGGCGAGGGGGCCUGGAGGCGGCCCAACCCUUCCUGUGCCUUCCCCCACCCCUUACCUACUAGUCCCAAUCUACUUGAGCCCUGGGAACAGCAAUGUCAACUGCGAGAGCAGCAGUGACACUGGCAGGGCUGGUGUUGACAUCUACCACAAUUGUCUAUAUAGAGACACUGAUGGACAGGAUUCUACCUAGUCUAUAUAUAGAGACACAGACAUCAUAAGGCAAGCAAGCAUAAUUCUCUAAAGGUCCUUCAGACACGGCAUCGUCACCCUCCCUCCUGACUACAGUUCUGUACUCUGCUCCUUGGAUGGUACAAACACAUCUGGGCAUACCUUACUCAGAGAUAAUAUCAUAGCUUAUUAAUUCCAUCUACUCCGCACACAAAGGAAAACUGUCCACAGCAGGGGGAAGGAAGUCUCAGGCUCCAUAUGGGGAUUUUCUUAGGGCCUCCUAUAAUGGUAGGCCACUAGUAACUAGCCUAUAGCCAAUACUAUACCAAGAUGGAAGUGGAUGGAUUUGAGUGCCAUUCACCCAUGAAAACCAAAGAAAAGAUUAGUGCUUCUGGACUAGUUCCCAGACCAAUGGGAAGACCCUCUUGCCUCACUUGUGACUCGUGACCUAUAUAUUGAGAAUCUCAGGUCCAGUGCAUGCUCCCUCCCGAGCGAGGAGGGAUGCAUUUAUACUAAUUGGCAGCGAAGUUUGGUUUGCCUAUCUUGGCCCUUGCCAGGGCUCCAGUCUCCUUCAGUUAAAGGAAAGCUCCUGGACCAAGGCUGCUGGGAGAGAAUGAAUGGUGACAGUGGGUUUGGGAUCAGUAGUGACAGAGUGCUUCACUUGUGCCAGGUGCUGUACAAAUUAACCCUCACUCCAGCUCUGUCAGGGGCUCAUAAUCCUGUUUCCAUUAAACUUGCUCAGUGUCUUAUAACUGGCAACUGCUAGAGCUGGAAUUAAAAUUCUGGCUCCAAACCUUGUGUUUCUCUUGUAUAACACACGUUUACUCACAGGGUUCUCAGUGCCAUCACUGUGAUUAGAAGAGGGCUUCCUUGCUAUUCGAUCCAAGUGCCUACUGUCCUCUGCACAGGGCUACGUUGAGGUGGCCAAAUGUGCCUGAGUCAACUCUAGUUAGAGCGGACAGUGGGCAUCACCCACCCUGUGGUUGCUUCUCUCCUCCAAUUUGAAUUCUAUAUGUUGGGUACCAGGAACUGCUGCUCUGCUGAACAACCCCAAAUGCUUAGCAUGGCCAAGUGGGUACUGGGCUCUUGCUUCUAGAAAACCAUGAUGUAAGCUAGUGCUGCCCAGACUUUGGGUCUCUUGCCAAACAGGGCUUGUGAUCAUCUGCUCAGCUUUUAUGCCAGCCUUAGAACAAAGCUCCUUAUCCGCACGGUGUCUUUAUUUCCUCUUCUGCCUCUACGCUCCCAUUAGAAACACAUACAUCCAGACUUAGUAGCUAUGGAGUGAUGACGUCUUCCCUCCAUCCAUGGUGGCCUUUUCAAGAAAAACAUGUUUUAUAUCUUGGCAUUUUAGUGGCUGCAAAUCUGGGAAAAAACAAUAAUGUGUGAGCACUUGUGAGCUGUGUGCCUGGAUCCGAGAUGAAAGCAGGGACGUUGAAGACAUCUUUCAGUCCCAGAUAACAUCCCAGUGACCAGUGAUCCUGGUCCCCAUGGCUUUUUAUCACUGAGACACCAGCUCUGUGAUGUCAUUUCCAUGGGGAUUUAUACAUUGAGGAAAACCAUCUAUUUCCUGCCACGAUUAAGAGGACACCUGAGUGUUCAGUCACAGCAUCUCCUAACUCCCCAGACUCAUCAGCAGGAUUGUCUCUCUGGGCCCCUAGUAUGAAACUCAUUUUUAGCAAAAUCUAGUUCCCAUGUUCUAGGUAGUAACUUAUCAGAUGAGUAGCCAAAAAGACGGAAGCAAAAAAUGUUUGUGUCCUGCAUUUUGGUUAGUUUCUCGGGGGCUGUAUCACCGUUCAGGUGGUCGUCUCCAAGGUAACUGGUAUCAUCCUGCUCUACUAAUCUCAUCUCCUACCUUCCUCCAGUCACUUUUCUGCUCAGUGUCUUCAACGUAUUCCUGGACCCCAGCCCUGCACGGUUGCGGAAUGAGGAAGACAACCUUGGCAGUCUACAUGUGCCCAGACUAAUUUGGAAAAGAACCGCUGUGUGCCAAGGGCUGAUGUUUUCUGAGAAACACUCGUCACUUAGAUGAGGAAAUCGAGGCUUUAAUAAGUUAUUUAAUUUGCCCAUUCAUUCAUUCAUUCAGCAAAUACUGAGGGCAUACUAACCACCAGGCACUGUACUGAGGAUAAAGAGUGGAGAAAACAAACUAAAAGCCCUUCCCCCACGGGGCCAGAUUCGAACCCAAGCCGGUCUACCUCGAAACUCCGCACGCUUUCUGCUGCCUCAUGCUGCCUCUCUUCAAGGAUUUGACGACAUCUCGCUUUGCCCAAACAUUACUUAAAAGACCCAUUCCUCUUCCACUUCCUGGGAUGCCACAGCCUGUGGAACUACUUCUGCAUCUUGUCCUCUUUCCGAUGCACGCUUUCGGUUAAGCCUGGCAGUAUCUCCAAGCUUCCAGAACUCUGCAGCCUGGAGCAGCAGUAUCAGCAGCAGCAGCAGCAGUCCUGGCUGGUUGUGGCUUAGGGCACAACCCCACGUCAGAUCUGAAGAACAGCCUCUCUCCUUUCACAGAGCAGCACCAGGCUGGGCUGCGGGAAGACUCCAGAGUGUACCUCGCCUCCUCCCCACUGUGCCCUCGUGGCACCCUGCGCACAGCUUUAUUGCGGCACUCGUACCCUUGGGUCUCACUUACUGGUUUGCACAUCUGUCUUCCCUUCUGAGAGAGUAAAUCUCCUGUCUCUGCAACCUCAGGACCUGGCACUGGGUCACACACAAAACAGAUAUUAAAAAAAUAUUGGACAAAUAAUGAAUGGACAAGGAAAAUAAAAAACAGAAAAGAUGAAAAUAAGAAAACGAGAGUUUAAAGAAAUCCAGAGAGACUACUAUGUCUUAGUCUUCUUUUUCAUACAUAUCAAAUCGGAAAGAAUUUCCUAUAAAUGCUGGAAAUCAUUGAAUAUCAUGUGGGAAUGUAUGGGAAGGACCUUUUAGGCCAUGCCCAUCCCCUAAGGGGACAGUCAGCUGCACCAUUUUUGGCAUCAAUGGGUUUUUCUCUAUAGCUGUAGGAUCUAGCCGUUCCCCUGCCCCCAGCUCCCCCAUAAGUCAUUCUGGCUAUCAUUCCAUUUGAAAGAAUUGGAGCUACUUUUCACUUGGGAGAACAUAAUAAAAAUCAGUUCUUCACUAGUAAAUUAGGAUGGACAACCCUUCUCUGGGGAAGAAAAGCAAUAACUGAUCAUGAUAAUGAGAUUGUGCAACAAGCUUUGAAAAUGCUUAUACUACAUUUAUAUAGAACAGGAUUUGCUUACACUUCAGAUGUCGCCCUCGAUAUAUGGUUCAGAGUCACAGAGCAGGUAAUAGAUAUAACAAUUUAUUGAAACCAUGUCAUUACUUCUUUUAGAAAUAAAAAUACUAUUUGCGUGUUCAGUUCAUAUUAAACUAUAGUAUCCAAAAUAUUCCACUUUGGAUUUCAAAAUCAGUUCUGGCAGGAUUUAGCCCAUAACACAAUAAUUCAUUUUCGAAAGCAAAUACCACCACUGAUGCAGUGUGUUCUCAAAAAUUGUGUUCCAAGCACGAUAUUAGAUUUUUAGUCCAUAUCAUUGAAAAUGACUUUACUGGUCUCAUAAAAUGCAUUUCCAAAAGUAAUUAAAUGUUUUAUAAGAUCAAACUCAAUAUUUAAUUUUAAAUUUAAACAGAAUACAAAUUUUAAGAGUGUUACAAAUUUUAAGAGUGUAUAUAAAGAAAACAUGGAAGUUAGAAAAAGUAAAAGGAUUCAUUAUAGUAUAUCAUUUUCUAUAUCUUGAGAAAGUUGUAUUUUUCUCUCUCACUUUCUACAUCAUAACCAAAGGGAUAAAAAUGAUCUACCUUUCAGUUUUUACAAGUAUUACAAUUUUACAAGUAUUAUAAUUUAUAAAAUAUAACAGAGUUAAUAGUAGCAAAGUUUUUGUUAUGUAAAUAUUUAGGGAAGUCUAUUGACAAAUUAAAACAAAAAUUCAAAAUACAUAAUUAAUUUAGUUGGAUACUAAGUGCAUUUGAUUCAGUAAAAUACUUUUCCUCUCUAGUUCAAUGGGACAAGAUUGAACAGAGCACUAACUAUAUUUCACAAGAAUCUAAUCGCUUGAGACAAAUUCACUGAAUGCCUGCUCUGUGCCAGACACCGGGGCGGGUACCGUGAAUAAAUUUGAAAACUCACCAGUGGUCCAGUGGAAGCAAGUCCACAGUUAAAUACAGUAGAGUGACACAGAAAACAUACACAUAUCAAACUUAACAAUGUGUCACUGCCAAAAUAACAAUAAUAUCACAAAUCACUAUGAAGUUAGAUUUUAUACAUGUACUCCAUUAUAUUCUAUAUAUUGCUAUAUUCUAUACAUUUAUACAUACACGUUAUUGAGCAAUUUUUGCUGUUUUAUAUAAAAUUUGGUAUCAACACUUAAUAUUGCCCAUUUCAAACACCAGGAUUGCUUUGAUUAAUUGUGUACAACAUUUCUUUUCAUUGCCUAUUCCCACAUCCUUUGCACAGUUGUAUUAGGGCGUUCAUUUUUAACUCUUAUUGAUGUGUAAAAGCUCUUUAUACUAAGAUUAUUAACCUCCUUUCUCUCAAGUGUGUUGUAAAUUCUAUUUUCCCUAGUUUAUCAUUUGCCUUUUUAUAUGACUAAGGCAUUGCAUGGUUUAGAAAAGAUUUUAAUUUUUAGA